rnacentral:rRNA from 1 species
CCUACGGGUGGCAGCAGUGAGGAAUAUUGGUCAAUGGACGCGAGUCUGAACCAGCCAAGUAGCGUGAAGGAUGACUGCCCUCUGGGUUGUAAACUUCUUUUAUAAAGGAAUAAAACGACGCACGUGUGCCUUUUUGCAUGUACUUUAUGAAUAAAGAUCGGCUAACUCCGGGCCAGCAGCCGCGGUAAUACGGAGGAUGCGAGCGUUAUCCGGAUUUAUUGUGUUUAAAGGGAGCGUAGGUGGUUAAUUAAGUCAGCGGUGAAGGUUUGUGGCUCAACCAUAAAAUUGCCGUUGAUACUGGUUGACUUGAGUAUAUUAGAGGUGGGCGGAAUGCGAGGUGUAGCGGUGAAAUGCAUAGAUAUCACGCAGAACUCCGAUUGCGAAGGCAGCUUACUAAACUAUAACUGACACUGAAGCACGAAAGCGUGGGGAUCAAACAGGAUUAGAUACCCCUGUAGUC